UCAAACUUGGUCAUUUAGAGGAAGUAAAAGUCGUAACAAGGUUUCCGUAGGUAAGUAAAAAAGUCCUCCAACUUUAGAACCCCCUUGGUUCAUAACAUGCUAACUUUGCGCUAUUAGGUGAACCUGCGGAAGGAUCAUUAUCGAGUGCUGACCCCCCGUAAAAGGGGGGUUACCUCCCGUCCUUUGCUAGGCACCCCCUUCUAUUUGGAAGGGGGUUGCUCUGAGAACCUUUCUGCUUCGGCGGGGUUACCUGCCGAAACAACCUCAAAUUCCAAGUCAAAACGGUUUCAGUCCGAGAAACUUUUGAAAAAGCGAAAACUUUCAACAACGGAUCUCUUGGUUCUGGCAUCGAUGAAGAACGCAGC
rnacentral:misc_RNA from 1 species